rnacentral:tRNA from 1 species
CGGUGGGUAUGCCUAGCAGCGAGGGCGGCGGUCUGUAAAACCGUUACAUAAGAAACACCGCAGGUGCGAGUCCUGCCCCACCGA